CAGCCGCCGCGGUAAUACGUAGGUGGCAAGCGUUGUCCGGAAUUAUUGGGCGUAAAGGGCUCGCAGGCGGUUUCUUAAGUCUGAUGUGAAAGCCCCCGGCUCAACCGGGGAGGGUCAUUGGAAACUGGGAAACUUGAGUGCAGAAGAGGAGAGUGGAAUUCCACGUGUAGCGGUGAAAUGCGUAGAGAUGUGGAGGAACACCAGUGGCGAAGGCGACUCUCUGGUCUGUAACUGACGCUGAGGAGCGAAAGCGUGGGGAGCGAACAGGAUUAGAUACCCGCGUAGUCCCUGUCUCUUAUAU
rnacentral:rRNA from 1 species